GAUGAAGAACGUAGCGAAAUGCGAUACGUAAUGUGAAUUGCAAAUUCAGUGAAACAUCGAGUCUUUGAACGCACAUUGCGCCCCCUGGUAUUCCGGGGGGCAUGCCUGUCCGAGCGUCAUUGCUGCCCUCAAGCACGGCUUGUGUGUUGGGCCCCGUCCUCCGAUCCCGGGGGACGGGCCCGAAAGGCAGCGGCGGCACCGCGUCCGGUCCUCGAGCGUAUGGGGCUUUGUCACCCGCUCUGUAGGCCCGGCCGGCGCUUGCCGAUCAACCCAAAUUUUUUAUCCAGGUUGACCUCGGAUCAGGUAGGGAUACCCGCUGAACUUAAGCAUAUCAAUAAGCGGAGGA
rnacentral:misc_RNA from 1 species